AGAGGGCCAGGGGGAGGAGGAGAGAAGAAGAAACAUAUGAUGUGUGACAGGCUGUAGACGAGACACGAGGAAGAGUGUGAUGAGAGAACACCAAUGCGUGGAGGCUGGGGACCAUCCCCCGGCAAUGUCUCAUCCCGGGGUCAAGGGCUCCCUCACAAGAGAGCCUGGAUGGUGGACAAGGCCACGGUUUGAAGGUUGAGCCAAGGCCCUGCACACAGCAUCUCCCCUGCAGUGGGGGUAGCACCGAAAGGACUGAGGUCAGAAGCCCGGCAGCCAGGUCACCGUGCGUGAAAUAGAGGCGAUACUGUUUACACCGCCAGCCCCAAGGGCGGUGGCGGACGUGGAAGAUACAACGCCGCGAGGGUCAACGAUGAAAUAAAAGUACUUGAUAUAUAUAUAUUUUAAGCGUAGAAACACAAAAAGGGAGCGAGACAACGAAGGAGCAGAGCAAACACAUCGGAAGAUUGGGAAGCCACUGGUGCUUAGGGAUGGCAACCACCUCCAUUUGUCCCCACUCGCUCCGCAGAGACACUGGCGGUAGGCGUCCACUGAUGAAGGCCCCCCGGGUGUGGCUCUCGGGCCCCGAGUGACCCACCGUGUAAGUCAGCAGCCCUGACAGCGCUUGGCAUGUCCAAAACCUCCCACUGGUCUCUCUCCUUUCGUCCGUAUUUUGUGGUCUCAACACUGGCCUUCACCUCCACCUACCCACGUAAACUCUUGUUACUGCUUUAGAACACUGCAGCUGACAAGAGCCCUCCAGAGCAGCCGGCUCAAUGCAUCACUGGUCUUUAGAGCCCAGGGAGAAGAGCAAGAGGAAAGAAAAAAGGAAGAGGGGCUUCAAAAUUAAGCAGUCCCUUAACUUUGACUAUGUCAAUGGGAAUCUUCUUGAACUUGGAACAUGGCAGACGAUACUCCAGUCUUCCAACACUGACAGUUGCUGUGGACAACUCAGAAGCCAGCCUUACUGUUCUCCCUGUAGACAAUCUGCAAAGAGCAGUCCUUUUUUCUCCCUGAAGUCUAGAAAAUCUACCAGGUGUUAUCUUGCCAUUCAUCAUUCUAUGUCAGCUAUUCUUGGAACACAGCGUGAACUCUCAAUCUAAAAAUUCAGAUCUGUAGUAUCAAGUAAGGCACUGGACACGGGCUGCCAUUCUGGGUUCAAAGCCCAGCUCCACGACUAUGGGCAAGUCACAGUUUCUAAAGUUUUCUCAUUGGUAAAAUGGAGAUGGUAAUAGAAUUUUUCACUUAGUGCAGUCCUAUGAACUAAACGGAAUAAUAAAUGGAUAGAACACUUAGCACAGUAUAUAGCAAGAGCUGAAUAAAGCCUUACUUUGUUGAAGAAUUUCUCUUUGAUUAUAAAACUGCAUUUUCUUAUCUAUUCUGGUUUUUUCCAUUUUCUGUUUCAGGAAUACUAAUUGUGUGCACUGUCUUAAUUCCCGUAGCUUUGUACAAUAGAAAGUUAAGAGAUUAGGAAGUGUGAGUCCCUCAACUUUGUUCUUUCUCAAGAUUGUUUUGGCUCUUCUGGUCCCUUGCAUUUCCAUAUUAAUUUGUGAAUCAGCUUAUCAAUUUCUGCAAAAAAGGCAGCUAGGAUUUUAAUGGGGACUGGGUUGAAUCUGUAGAUCAAUUUGGGGAGUAUCGUCAUCUUAACAAAUUAAGUCUUUUGUUCCAUGAGUGUAGGAUGCCUUUCCAUUUAUGUAGGUUUUCUUUCAUUUCUUUCAACAGUGAUUUGUAGUUUUCAGCGUAUAAGGUUUGAACGUCUUUUUAUCAUCCCAAUGCAUUUUAAUCUUUUUGAUGCUAUUAGAAGUGGAAUUACAAUUUUAAUUUCAUUUUCAGAUUGCUCAUUGCUAGUGUAAACAAAUAAAAGUGAUUUUAAAAAAAAUAAAUUUAUUUAUUUAUUUAUGGCUGUGUUGGGUCUUCGUUUCUGUGCGAGGGCUUUCUCUAGUUGCGGGGAGCGGGGGCCACUCUUCAUCGCGGUGCGCGGGCCUCUCGCUGUCGUGGCCUCUCUUGCUGCGGAGCACAGGCUCCAGACGCGCAGGCUCAGUAGUUGUGGCUCACGGGCCCAGUUGCUCCGUGGCAUGUGGGAUCUUCCCAGACCAGGACUCGAACCCGUGUCCCCUGCACUGACAGGCAGAUUCUCAACCACUGCGCCACCAGGGAAGCCCAAAAGUGAUUUUUGUAUAUUGACCUUGUAUCCUACAACCUUGCUGAAAUCGUUUAUUAUUUAUAGUUUUUUGUGUGUGAAUUCCCUAGGAUUUUCUAUAUACAAGAUCAUGUCAUCUGUAAAUAUAGUUUUACUUCUUUUUUAAAAAAAAUUUUUAUUUAUUUAUUUUUUGGCUGCGUUGGGUCUCUCUUGCUGCACGCUGGCUUUCUCUAGUUGCGACGAGCAGGGGCUACUCUUCAUUGCGGUGAGUGUGCUUCUCAUUGUGGUGGCUUCUCUUGCUGUGGAGCACGGGCUCUAGGCGUGCAGGCUCAGAGGGCUUCAGUAGUUGUGGCACGUGGGCUCAGUAGUUGUGGCGCACGGGCUUAGUUGCUCCACAGCAUGUGGAAUCUUCCCGGACCAGGGAUCAAACCCAUGUCCCCUGCACUAGCAGGCGGAUUCUUAACCACUGUGCCACCAGGGAAGUCCCUCCCUUUUCAAUCUGGAUGCCUUUUAUUUCUUUUUCCUGCCUAAUCUGAUCUUGGAAGGAAAGCAUCCACUCUUUCACCAUUAUAUAUGUUGUUAGACAUGGGUUUUCAUGGAUGCCUUUAUCAGGUUGAGGAUAUUAACUUCUUUGUUCUUUUUAAUUUUUCUUUACUUCUAUUCCUAGUUUGUUGUGUGUUUUUUUAUCAUGGGGAGUGUUGGACUUUGCCAAAUGAGUUCUCUGCGUCUACUGAGAUUAUCAUUAUCAUGUGGUUUUUGUCCUUUAUUCUAUUUAUAUGUUGUAUUACAUUCAUUGAUUUCCACACAUUAAAUCAACCUUGCAUUUCUGAAAAGAAUCUUGCUUGAUGGUAUAUAAUUCUUUCUCUAUGCUGUUAGAUUCAGUUUGCUGGUAUUUUGUUGAUGAUAUCUGCAUCUGUAUUCAUAAGAGAUACUGGUCUCUGGGACUUCCCUGGUGGCACAGUGGUUAAGAAUCCUCCUGCCAAUGCAGGGGACACGGGUUCGAGCCCUGGUCUGGGAACAUCCCACAUGCCGCGGAGCAACUAAGCCCGUGCACCACAACUACUGAUCCUGUGCUCUAGAACCCGCGUGCCGCAACUACCAGAGCCCGCGUGCCUAGAGCCUAUGCUCCACAGCAAGAGAAGCUACCGCAAUGAGAAGCCCGCGCACCGCAACAAAGAGUAGCCCCCGCUCACCACAACUAGAGAAAGCCCACGCGCAGCAAUGAAGACCCAACACAGCCAAAACUAAAUAAAUAAAUUAAUUAAUCAAUUAAUACCAAAAAAAGAGAUACUGGUCUCAUAAAAUUAGUUAGGGAGUGUUUUACUCCUCUUCUACUUUCUGAAAGCUUCUAUAGUACUGGCAUCA